rnacentral:lncRNA from 1 species
UCUUCUCUUCAUGGCUUGUUACCUUUGAAUCUCUCUCACUUUGAGAAGUUUCAUCUCUCUCACUUUGAGAAGUUUCAUCUUUUCCGCCCACACCGAGCUUUGAAGCUACUGUGUUUUUAGCUUGUGCAGCUUUAUCCGCUACUGCAGAUGUUGCAGAUGAGAUUUUCUCUGAAUAACUACUCUGGUUUUGAUUUGUUUUGUUUCCGCCUUGUUCGCCAUAUCCAAGCUUCGAUGCGACUGCAUUUUUAGCUGUUGCGGCUUUAUCGGCUAUUGCAGAGGUUGCAGAUGAGAUUUUUUCUGUGUAACUACUUUGGUUCGACGGUGUUUCUCCGGCUGUUCGUUGAUAUGUUUCGUUUUCGCCUUG